rnacentral:rRNA from 1 species
UACGUAGGGUGCGAGCGUUAAUCGGAAUUACUGGGCGUAAAGCGUGCGCAGGCGGUUCGUUGUGUCGGUGGUGAAAGCCCCGGGCUCAACCUGGGAAUGGCCAUGGAAACUGGCGAACUGGAGUGUGGCAGAGGGGGGUGGAAUUCCGCGUGUAGCAGUGAAAUGCGUAGAGAUGCGGAGGAACACCGAUGGCGAAGGCGGGUCUCUGGGCCGUAACUGACGCUGAGGAGCGAAAGCGUGGGGAGCGAACAGG